rfam:Triticum urartu cultivar G1812 contig365626, whole genome shotgun sequence.
UUGGUACUCCCUCCGUCCUAAAUUACUUGUCGCAGAAAUGGAUGUAUCUAGAUGUAUUUAUAGUUCUAGAUACAUCCAUUCUUAUCCAUUUAUGUGACAAGUAAUUCGGGACGGAGAGAGUAUUUA